AUUGAACGCUGGCGGCAGGCCUAACACAUGCAAGUCGAACGGCAGCACGGUUAGAGGCUCCUGUUACGGAUUGGCGGAGGCGUGCGGGUUAGGUAGGAACAGGUCUUUAAGUUUUCGAUGGGGCUACCGAAGCGGGAUUUAUACUACAUACGAUCUACAGAUGAGGGUGGAAGCAGUUGGUCUCUCGCCCUCUCGCGUUGGCAUGAGGCGAUGUCGGAUUAGCUAGUGGGCGGGGUAAAGGCCCACCAAGGCGACGAUCCGUAGCUGGUCUGAGAGGAUGAUCAGCCACACUGGAACUGAGACACGGUCCAGACUCCUACGGGAGGCAGCAGUGGGGAAUUUUGGACAAUGGGCGCAAGCCUGAUCCAGCCAUACCGCGUGUGUGAAGAAGGCCUUCGGGUUGUAAAGCCCUUUUGUUGGGAAAGAAAAGCAGCGGGUUAAUACCCCGCUGUUCUGACGGUACCCAAAGAAUAAGCACCGGCUAACUUCGUG
rnacentral:rRNA from 1 species